rnacentral:rRNA from 1 species
GGACGGGUGAGUAACGCGUGGGUAACCUACCCCAAAGUCCGGGAUAACAGCGUGAAACCGCUGCUAAUACCGGAUGUCUUUACCUUGGGGCAUCUUGAGGUAAAGAAAGGUAACGCUUUGGGAUGGGCCCGCGUCCCAUUAGCUAGUUGGUGAGGUAACGGCUCACCAAGGCGACGAUGGGUAGCCGGCCUGAGAGGGUGGACGGCCACACUGGGACUGAGACACGGCCCAGACUCCUACGGGAGGCAGCAGUAGGGAAUAUUGCGCAAUGGACGGAAGUCUGACGCAGCGACGCCGCGUGAGCGAUGAAGGUCUUCGGAUCGUAAAGCUCUGUCCUUGGGGAAGAAGGCGAAAGCUUGACGGUACCCAAGAAGAAAGCCCCGGCUAACUACGUGCCAGCAGCCGCGGUAAUACGUAGGGGGCGAGCGUUGUCCGGAAUUACUGGGCGUAAAG